AUACGUAGGGUGCAAGCGUUGUCCGGAAUUAUUGGGCGUAAAGAGCUCGUAGGCGGUUUGUCGCGUCUGCUGUGAAAGCCCGAGGCUCAACCUCGGGUCUGCAGUGGGUACGGGCAGACUGGAGUGCGGUAGGGGAGAUUGGAAUUCCUGGUGUAGCGGUGGAAUGCGCAGAUAUCAGGAGGAACACCGAUGGCGAAGGCAGAGCUCUGGGCCGUUACUGACGCUGAGGAGCGAAAGCAUGGGGAGCGAACAGGAUUAGAUUCCCUGGUAGUCCAUGCCGUAAACGUUGGGCUCUAGAUGUGGGGACCAUUCCACGGUUUCCGUGUCGUAGCUAACGCAUUAAGCGCCCCGCCUGGGGAGUACGGCCGCAAGGCUAAAACUCAAAGGAAUUGACGGGG
rnacentral:rRNA from 1 species